AUACAACUUUCAGCAACGGAUCUCUUGGCUCUCGCAUCGAUGAAGAACGCAGCGAAAUGCGAUAAGUAAUGUGAAUUGCAAGAAUUCAGUGAAUCAUCGAAUCUUUGAACGCACCUUGCGCCCUUUGGCUAUUCCGAAGGGCAUGCCUGUUUGAGUAUC
rnacentral:rRNA from 1 species